ACCAAGGCAACGAUGCAUAGCCGACCUGAGAGGGUGAUCGGCCACACUGGAACUGAGACACGGUCCAGACUCCUACGGGAGGCAGCAGUAGGGAAUCUUCCGCAAUGGGCGAAAGCCUGACGGAGCAACGCCGCGUGAGUGAUGAAGGUCUUCGGAUCGUAAAACUCUGUUAUUAGGGAAGAACAUAUGUGUAAGUAACUGUGCACAUCUUGACGGUACCUAAUCAGAAAGCCACGGCUAACUACGUGCCAGCAGCCGCGGUAAUACGUAGGUGGCAAGCGUUAUCCGGAAUUAUUGGGCGUAAAGCGCGCGUAGGCGGUUUUUUAAGUCUGAUGUGAAAGCCCACGGCUCAACCGUGGAGGGUCAUUGGAAACUGGAAAACUUGAGUGCAGAAGAGGAAAGUGGAAUUCCAUGUGUAGCGGUGAAAUGCGCAGAGAUAUGGAGGAACACCAGUGGCGAAGGCGACUUUCUGGUCUGUAACUGACGCUGAUGUGCGAAAGCGUGGGGAUCAAACAGGAUUAGAUACC
rnacentral:rRNA from 1 species